GUACCUACAUAUUCUUGAGCAUGCAAAAAAUAAGGGGUUGUUUGCUUGGCGAGAGCUUUCUAGUUUCAAAUUAGAUCCAUCAGGGCACUCCCAAAAGGAACUCUUUCUCCUUCUUUAUAUGGAGAUGGUUUAGGCAUACCAAGUUUAGUUUUAGAAUCUACAAUGAAGCAUUUGUAAAAACGCGUGGAAUAGUAUAAAAGGCUGAUGGUGUAAAAGAUUUUUUCGAGGCUUAGACAUGCAGCAACAAAGAUUAUUCGGGCUGGCUACGAGGAUUCUCUUGCAUGAGUGGCAUUCUAACCUCAAAUGGAUCCAUCAAAGCUCUACCAAAAGGAAGACUCUUUCUCGUUCUGUAGAUGGAGAAGGCAAUGAUAAGUCCAGUUUGAGAGUUUACAGUCAACCAUUGGUAAAGAUUCAUGGUACAGUAUAAAAAGAAAAGAGUGGAAUAAAUCUUUUUAAGGCUUAGAGCUCUCCUGCUGCAAUGAAGAUGAUUUUGGCUGGCUGCUGGAAUCCUUGUGCAUGGGGUACACUCCUUUUUGUGAUGAAAAAUUUCUGAUUCAGGAAAAGUUUAUCUGACUGCAAAGACAAUUUAAAGGACCGACCUUUAAAUUGUAUUGCCUUCAAGUAGUAAAUAGCAACUUUUUUAGUUAUUAGUGGCUGAAAUAUUAAGAAAUAGUGAUGCUUGUCUGCCAGUUGAAUAGUCAGUCAAGUACUGCCUUGAAGCAAUUCCCUAAUUUAUCUUCCAAAAGAAGGUGCUUGUUGAAACAAUGGGCAACUGCUAGUUUUGGUUCAUUUGGUAUGGAGUAACUGAAGGAUGAAGUUGCAUAUGUUGCUUCUUGUAUGUAGUUCUUGAAAUUACUUGUUCAUCUGUAGUUGGCAAAUCAGAAUAUUUUGAGAUUCUUAGUUGUUGAGUUAGUUCUUAUGCCCUAGUGGAUUAUGGGUGUCUGUUUGACAAUGUUAGCAGCACAUUACAUUCUUUUAUGUUGUUAAUUCUCUAAUGGAACUCUGUGUUGGUACACAGUUGUUUGAGUGCUAGAGAUCAGAUGAAUUGUCUGAAGUCAUGCUAGGGAAGUUUUCCUGUGUAUGAGAAGCUAUGAACACAAGCUAUUCUCUCAAUCUGGUGGUGGGGCACUGCUUUAAUUCAGGUUUAUUGAAUGGUUGAUGGCAAAGAUGCCAUGUUAAUACUCUGCUUUUGUUCAUUUAAUGUUACAUAAAAUUCUCUAGCCUAUCAUGAGAUGUACAUCAUUUUGAGUCUUUAAGAUGAAUUAGGUUAAUGGAUGGUGAGAAGGUCAAAAUUUUUACAUGGAAUUUUGAUGGAUAUCAUUCAAUCCGGAAGUAAAUUUCUGAGAGGAAGGCUCGCAUUAUUGGAAGUACACAUCAUGUGGAUGGCAAUCUCCUGGGGGAAAAGACUGUCCAUGCCUUGCAAGUGGAACCGAUCAAUAGGCAAAAAUCUUCAAGUACUUAGGAAUGAAUAGGCAAGUCAAAUACCUUUAUGUUACUUGUGAACACACUGAAAUAAAUGAACAAAUAGAUAAAUACAACCAAAAAGAAAUGAACACUUCAAUGUAUUUUGUUUGCUUACUAUAGAUAAACAAGUCAACUUCAAGAACCAGCUACAAGAAUGAUAUGUAACUUCAUUAUACAUUCAUUGCAUACCCUAUGAAAUAAAUAAUAGUAGAUUGUCCAUUAUCUUCACUAAGAGUUCCACUGGGAAGAAAUAUCAAGCUACUGCUUUAAGGCACUACUUAAUUAUCAAGUAAUAUUAUUUAUUGACAUUAU